rnacentral:rRNA from 1 species
AUUGAACGCUGGCGGCAGGCCUAACACAUGCAAGUCGAGCGGAUGAAGGGAGCUUGCUCCUGGAUUCAGCGGCGGACGGGUGAGUAAUGCCUAGGAAUCUGCCUGGUCGUGGGGGAUAACGUCCGGAAACGGGCGCUAAUACCGCAUACGUCCUGAGGGAGAAAGUGGGGGAUCUUCGGACCUCACGCUAUCAGAUGAGCCUAGGUCGGAUUAGCUAGUUGGUGGGGUAAAGGCCUACCAAGGCGACGAUCCGUAACUGGUCUGAGAGGAUGAUCAGUCACACUGGAACUGAGACACGGUCCAGACUCCUACGGGAGGCAGCAGUGGGGAAUAUUGGACAAUGGGCGAAAGCCUGAUCCAGCCAUGCCGCGUGUGUGAAGAAGGUCUUCGGAUUGUAAAGCACUUUUAGUUGGGAGGAAGGGCAGUAAGUUAAUACCUUGCUGUUUUGACGUUACCAACAGAAUAAGCACCGGCUAACUUCGUG